CUUGCCCUAGGUUUGACCAGGUAAUGUUCAAGUAAUGGUUAUGGUCAAUGGUGGGUAAUGAAGAGAGGCCACAGUGUCUUGUAUGUUGGACAGUAUCAGCAUUUGA